CGUGUAGGCGGCCAAACAGGUCCGUUGUGAAAACUGGAGGCUCAACCUCCAGACGUCGACGGAAACCGUAUGGCUAGAGUCCGGAAGAGGAGAGUGGAAUUCCUGGUGUAGCGGUGAAAUGUGCAGAUAUCAGGAAGAACACCUAUGGCGAAGGCAGCUCUCUGGGACGGUACUGACGCUGAGACGCGAAAGCGUGGGGAGCGAACA
rnacentral:rRNA from 1 species